rnacentral:rRNA from 1 species
UACGUAGGGGGCAAGCGUUGUCCGGAAUCAUUGGGCGUAAAGAGCGUGUAGGCGGUUCGGUAAGUCGUCUGUGAAAGUCCAGGGCUCAACCCUGGGAUGCCGGUCGAUACUGCCGGACUAGAGUUCGGAAGAGGCGAGUGGAAUUCCCGGUGUAGCGGUGAAAUGCGCAGAUAUCGGGAGGAACACCUAUGGCGAAGGCAGCUCGCUGGGACGUUACUGACGCUGAGACGCGAAAGCGUGGGGAGCAAACAGG